rnacentral:rRNA from 1 species
AAAACGACUCUCGGCAACGGAUAUCUCGGCUCUCGCAUCGAUGAAGAACGUAGCGAAAUGCGAUACUUGGUGUGAAUUGCAGAAUCCCGUGAACCAUUGAGUCUUUGAACGCAAGUUGCGCCCCAAGCCGUUAGGCCGAGGGCACGCCUGCCUGGGUGUCACGC